GAAAUUACCACUCUUGCCUCCCCUUUUCCACCUGUAUACAUAUUGACGUUGAAAAAUUGUUAAAUGAAGAGUCCUACACUAAUCUGUGAACCUCUUGAAAAUGGAGAUUCUGUCUUCUGUUAUCAGGACCCUAGUGAAUACAUGAUUCCUGCUUUCAAGAGUGGUGGGCGCAUGGUGGCCUGAGAGGAGAGGAUUGGCUGCUUCAGUGGCAGAGCCAAGGGAAGUGGCUGCAUUGGCAUCACCUGCAUCCCAGAGUUUACUAGGACCUAGGAUGCCGUCUGCUUCCCAAGCUCGAGAUGUGGGCCAGCAGGAAGACAGAGCCAGCAAGGAGCCACCUAGAUUCAGCCUAAGAGAAUGAGCUGCAUGGGUGAGGAGACUUCAUUUGAGAAAUCUUGGAGGUGGCUCACCAGGGCCUGGAGGAGGAGUGCAGGGAACCGCCUAGAAUAGAGGGACGUGGAAACUCCAUGGGAAAGGGCUCCAUAAUGGGAAACCCCAGAGGUGUAUACAAGCUUAGAGGGAUAAACAAAGCUCUAAGCAUCUGCCUGCCACAAAGGGCUAGAAGCUAGCAUCGUCUGUGGCACCAGCACACAUAGGAGUUGUCUUAUCACCUUAACGCCUCCUGCCUGUGGCAGACAAGCCAGAGCUCAGGGAGAAAGUGUGGGAAGAAGAGCGCCACCUCAUCCCUCGUUUUUCAGGGCAGACUUCCAGCUCCAGAGGCCUAAGCUGGGAAGGGGAGAAGGUUUCAAUGCUGGCUAAGCUAAAUUUGACUUUUUAGUGAAUGUACUGGACUGGACUGUAUUACCAAAUGGAGACUAUGCCUUCAAGUGUGUUACCUAAGAGGGAGCAGAAGGUCAUGGGUCUGCUGAAUUUUUUUUUUUUUUAAUCUUUUGAGGGCCCACCCAUGGCAUAUGGAGGUUCCCAGGCUAGGGAUUGAAGUGGAGCUGCAGCCGCCGGUCCACACCACAGCCACAGCAACGCCAGAUCUGAGCUGAAUCUGCAACCCACACCACAUCCCAUGGCAAGG
rnacentral:lncRNA from 9 species